CUUUUGGGUGCUAGUCAGAUUCGUUUCAGCUGAGCCACGUCGGGACCUCCCGUCUUAAAUUUUAAAAAUCCCUCUGGCUAUUGAUGGAGAAUAGACCAGAGGGGAGUGGUGAGGAUAGGGAGGUUGGAAGGGUGGAAGCAAAGAAAUUGCGGAGUAGAAGGUGAUGGCAGGUGAUGAAAUGGGAUGCAGGUGUGGCUGGGGUGAAGUGAGCUAGGGAAUGGAUGGUAGGAAGUAGCCAUGGGCCAGAUGAGAUAGGGCAUUGUAGAUCACAGAAUUCCUUCCAAAAGAGUUGGGGGGAGUAAGGGGGUCCCCCUUCAGUUUUACAAGGAAUCCUCAAGUUGCUGUGUGUGAAUAGAUCGUCCAGGAGCAGGAGCGGAAGCAGGCAGAGAGCACAGUUAGGAAGCGGUUCCGGGGAUGGAGAGAGACGGUGAGUCAGACCCGAGUGGAAGCGGUGAUAGGGGAUCUAAUUUGACAAUAGAGCCAGCAGGGCUUGCCAGUGUGUUAUGGAGUAAGAGUGAAAGAACCGUGGUGCUGUUUACUGAGAUGGAGACUGCAGGAGGAGCAGAGCUGGCCUAGGUGUGCUUUGGAGCACGUUAGGUUUCAGUCGCCUGGGGAACACCAGUGGCGGUGUCUCGUGGACUCUUGGCUCUUCCAGCCUGGAGUUCAGGCUUGAGCACUGAAUUCCAAGCCGCCAUUGCCUGGGUGGUGGUUAAAAGCAUGGACUGAAUGGACGUGUCUGGGAGGAGCGUGUCGAUGGAGCAGAAAGAUCUAAGGACCAGGACCUGGGGUACUUUAGUGUAAUGAGAUGGAAGCAGAAGGAAAAGCCGGGAAACUGGAAGAAAUGGCAGUUGAGUAAGAGGAAAAGCAGGGGCUCGGGUGUCUAUAAAGCAGAUCAAAGAAAGUUCUUUCUGAAAGAAGCUGAUCAGCUGGACUGGAUGCUGCUGAGAGCUGGGCGAGGUGGCCCCACCACUCACUCGCAGGGCGCCCUGAGGCAGAGCGUUUUCUCUGGAGAGUGUGAAUGUUCCUGGCACAGAAAGAUCCUAGUCGCCCUCCAGCCCCGCCUCCCUCGCAGGCCAGCCGUGGGACUGAGGUGGCUCUUGUGCAUUAGCGCACCUUGCAAGAGCCCGCAUCACUGUGUCUGCUGGCUGUGCUCCUGUCGCAGUCCUGUCACCCCAUAUCGCUUGGACCUCACAGGUCAUACGGAGGAGUCUGGAAAACAACCCCUCUGGUUUCCCUUCUGCUCACCAUUAGGUCACGAGCACAGAGUAAUCAGUGUUUCCUCCAAGAAACACUGCAGGUUUCGCGGCUUCUGAAAGUCACUGCUCUUGAGUCUUUCUGAGGCGAGGAACCGAGGCCCCAUGUCGCAGAUGCCCCGGAUUAGCGACAUUUGGGGUGCUAGAGAAGUCUUCACGUCUGCCUCCGGCCAGAGCGGCUCAGUCACCUGGCGGUUCCGAGUACAAGGGAGCGGGGACAUCAGGUCGCCUGUGAGACUUGGAACCUGAGGACUCAAGAGGAUCAGAAGUCGCCCAGCUGUUCUGGGGGACAGAAGUCCUGGAAUCAGAGCGUUGGCAGGGCUGUGUCCCCCCGGAAGUCCUAAGGGAGGACACACGCCUAGCUUUUUCCAGCGUCCAGGGCUGCCUGCAUUCCCCGGCUCAUGGCCCCUUCCUCCGAGGUCACAGCCAGCACUUGGGGCUUUCAGCUCUCUCUCUCAUCACCGCACCUUCUUCUCUGAUUCUGGCCCUCCUGGCUCCCUUAUAAGGACCUUUGUGAUGACACCAGGCCCAGGCCGGGUAAGCCAGCAUCGUCUCCCAUCGCGAGAUCCUUAAUUGAAGUGCAUGUGCAGAGUCCCCUUGGCCAGGUAAGGUCACAUGCUCACCAACUCCACGAAUACAUCCUGGCAUCUCUGAGGGCAGUGUUGCUCCCACAGGGAUGGUCAUGCAUGCUUUGAAGAUUGUUGGCAGGUUUCCUGAUGCACGCGGUCUGUCCAUUUGCUGGGGCACCUUUUCUCUGUCCCCUUUUACAAGUGGGAGGGUCCUACUGUGAGUCCGCACCCCAUGGCCUGGUUCCAUGUCCCCAAGGCCUGACAUGGUGACCAGCUAAUGCUGUUCCCUCCUGGGUUCAAGUCUCCUCCUCCUCUGUGACAUUCAGGACCCCAUGUCCUCCUUCCAGCUUCAGCCUUGUGCCUUCUGUUUCU